UAUAACUAUUUGAAGCGCUAAUCUAAAACCCUACGCUAAAGCCCUUGGGGUUUUGUACUGCAUUCAAUACCAGGGGUUUUGUACUGCAUUCAAUACCAGGGUUUUACGCCUCGAGGCUUCUUCUAUUCUUUCAUUCCUCUACCUAUUCGCUAUUCAUUUUUUCUUAAUCCAAACUCAUUUUUACUCUUAUAAUUUUAAUGACAUUUGCUACAAAGAAUGCAAAUGCAAGGGUUUUUUGAGCUGUGGAGCUUUUAAGCUGAUACUUCGAUGCACUGUCUUUUAUUCGUGUAUUGUCUGGGGUUCGAUUCUCGUCCAGGUCGUGCAUUUUAGGUUUCUGAACACAUGGCGGCUGCUGCUGUUACCAGGGCCAGGUCUUCGAAGUCCUUGGGUCGACUCUCGGCCCCCCUAUCGUAUGCGUUAAGAGACGUGUCUUCGUCUUCUUCUUCUGGUUGCCAUGAAUGGGGAACAGAUCUUUGGUGGAGGAGGACCAUGGCAACGUUCACCAGAACGAAACCUCAUGUGAAUAUUGGAACCAUUGGACAUGUUGACCAUGGGAAAACGACUUUGACAGCUGCAAUUACGAAGGUAUUGGCAGAAGAAGGUAAAGCUAAGGCAGUUGCUUUUGAUGAGAUUGACAAGGCUCCAGAGGAGAAAGCUCGAGGAAUUACCAUUGCUACGGCACAUGUCGAGUAUGAAACAACCAAGCGACAUUAUGCACAUGUAGAUUGCCCUGGACAUGCAGAUUAUGUGAAAAACAUGAUUACGGGAGCAGCUCAAAUGGAUGGUGGUAUUCUUGUUGUGUCUGCCCCUGAUGGACCCAUGCCCCAGACAAAGGAGCACAUCUUACUUGCCCGCCAGGUAGGAGUACCAUCUUUGGUGUGCUUUCUGAACAAGGUUGAUGUUGUGGAUGAUGAAGAGCUACUGGAGCUUGUAGAAAUGGAACUUCGUGAGUUGCUUAGCUUCUACAAGUUCCCAGGUGAUGAGAUUCCUAUCAUCAGGGGUUCUGCAUUGUCAGCUUUACAGGGUACUAACGAAGAAAUUGGAAGGAAAGCAAUUUUGAAAUUGAUGGAAGCAGUGGAUGAGUACAUUCCAGAACCAAAGCGAGUUCUUGACAAACCAUUCCUUAUGCCCAUAGAAGAUGUUUUUUCCAUUCAGGGUCGUGGAACAGUGGUUACUGGACGUGUUGAGCAGGGAACUAUUAAAGUUGGUGAGGAUGUUGAAGUGCUAGGACUAAAAGAGGGAGCUCCAACAAAGAGUACUGUUACUGGUGUGGAGAUGUUUAAGAAAAUACUUGACCGAGGCGAGGCUGGAGAUAAUGUAGGUCUCCUUAUGCGUGGGCUGAAGCGUGAUGAUGUCUUCCGAGGGCAGGUUGUUUGCAAGCCAGGUACAGUUAAAACACACAAGAAGUUUGAGGCAGAAAUAUACGUACUUACAAAGGAUGAAGGUGGCCGCCAUACAGCCUUUUUCUCCAAUUAUAAACCACAAUUCUAUUUGAGAACAGCAGAUGUGACUGGCAAGGUUGAGCUACCAGAGAAUGUCAAGAUGGUCAUGCCCGGUGACAAUGUUACUGCAGUUUUUGAACUUAUAUCACCUGUAGCAAUUGAACCUGGACAACGGUUUGCUCUAAGGGAAGGAGGCCGGACUGUUGGCGCAGGGGUGAUCUCAAAGGUCUUUUAGAUAGAAAAUGGGAAGGAUAGAUAUUUGUUUUCAUACUACAGUGAGGGAAAUUUUGAAGGAAACAGCCGCUCAAAUGUUAGGUGCGGAUGAGGCAAAGGCUUAUCUUUGCACUGGGUAAAGAAAUGUGUGCAGAUGUAUUUUGGUAUUCACUUAAGUAAAGAACUUGCAGGGAUGGGAUAAGUGAAAAAACAAGGAAGGUCUGUCUCUCUCUUUUUUGUGCCAAGGAUGAGUUGAACUAAGCUAGAUUUCCAGUUCAUUGCCAGCAUUUUUGUGCCAUAGUCAGGAUUCCAAGUUCAGGAUUCCAAGUUUAUGACCAGUAGUAUAAUUAGGAUUUUAAGUUUGUGAUCGGGAGUUUUGGGUUGUUGGGAUAAGAAAUUGAAUCAAAUGAUGAUUAUGCAUGUUUUUUCACCCUGUAAUUUUUAUUUUAUUCACAAAACGCGGCAUAGUUGAUAUAAUGGAACCAAUUAUUUAGCACCAGCUAUAUUUUAAAAGUUGAUGUAAUAAAUGUUGAGAUGAUAUAUGUGAUAUCUUCACCACAAUAGUCAUGUAUAUUGCAGUGCCAUGUUGUGGACACCGUUCAUUUAAAUGCAGAUGAUCUAUACUGCCAUUUUAUUGUACCA